rnacentral:rRNA from 1 species
UUCCGGUGAAAAUGCCGGAUACCCGCAGGAGGACGGAAAGACCCCGUGAACCUUUACUGUAGCCUGAUAUGGGCGUUUGGUUUGUUAUGUGUAGCAUAGCUGGGAGACUUUGAACCCAUCUCGUCAGGGAUGGGGGAGUCAACAGUGAAAUACCAGUCUUGACAAGGCGGACGUCUAACCUGAGCCCGUGAAACCGGGACAGGGACAAUGUCAGAGGGUCAGUUUGACUGGGGCGGUUUCCUCCCAAACAGUAACGGAGGAGUUCGAAGGUUCCCUCAGCAUGGUUAGCAAUCAUGCGUCGAGCGCAAUGGUAUAAGGGAGCUUAACUGCGAGACUUACAAGUCGAGCAGAUGCGAAAGCAGGACAUAGUGAUCCGGUGGACGCUCGUGGUAGUGCCAUCGCUCAACGGACAAAAGGUACUCCGGGGAUAACAGGCUGAUCGCUGCCGAGAGUUCAUAUCGACGCAGCGGUUUGGCACCUCGAUGUCGGCUCAUCGCAUCCUGGGGCUGGAGAAGGUCCCAAGGGUUUGGCUGUUCGCCAAUUAAAGCGGUACGCGAGCUGGGUUCAGAACGUCGUAAGACAGUUCGGUCCUUAUCCUCUGUGGGCGUAGGAGAUUUGAGGAGAACAUUCCAUAGUACGAGAGGACCUGGAAUGACAUACCUCUGGUGUUCCAGCUGUUCCGCCAGGAGCAUCGCUGGGUAGCUAUGUAUGGAACGGAUAAGCGCUGAAAGCAUCUAAGCGCCAAGCCUCCUCCAAGACUAGAUCUCCCGGACCGCAAGGUCCCUAAAGGCAGGUUGAAGACUACGACCUUGAUAGGCCGGAUGUGAAAGUUUGGUGACAAACUGAGCUUACCGGUACUAAUCCGCCGUGUGGUUUGACCUUAU